CGUUAAUCGGAAUUACUGGGCGUAAAGCGUGCGCAGGCGGUUUGGUAAGACAGGCGUGAAAUCCCCGGGCUUAACCUGGGAACUGCGCUUGUGACUGCCUCACUAUAGUACGGCAGAGGGGGGUGGAAUUCCACGUGUAGCAAUGAAAUGCGUAGAGAUGUGGAGGAACACCGAUGGCGAAGGCAGCCCCCUGGGCCAUACUGACGCUCAUGCACGAAAGCGUGGGUAACAAACAGGAUUAAAUACCCUGGUAGUCCACGCCCUAAACUAUGUCAACUAGGUGUUGGGUGGGUAAGGGCGUUUAAUACCGUACUAACGCGUGAAGUUGACCGGCGUGGGGAGUACGGCCGCAAGGUUAAAACUCAAUGAAUUGACCGG
rnacentral:rRNA from 1 species